GGGGGUGUGGCUCAGUUGCCAGAGUGCUUGCCUGCUAUGCAUGAGGCCCUGGGCUCAAUCCCCAGCAUUACUG
rnacentral:tRNA from 1 species